GAUGAACGCUGGCGGCGUGCCUAAUACAUGCAAGUCGAGCGAACGGACGAGAAGCUUGCUUCUCUGAUGUUAGCGGCGGACGGGUGAGUAACACGUGGAUAACCUACCUAUAAGACUGGGAUAACUUCGGGAAACCGGAGCUAAUUCCGGAUAAUAUUUUGAACCGCAUGGUUCAAUAGUGAAAGACGGUCUUGCUGUCACUUAUAGAUGGAUCCGCGCUGCAUUAGCUAGUUGGUAAGGUAACGGCUUACCAAGGCAACGAUGCAUAGCCGACCUGAGAGGGUGAUCGGCCACACUGGAACUGAGACACGGUCCAGACUCCUACGGGAGGCAGCAGUAGGGAAUCUUCCGCAAUGGGCGAAAGCCUGACGGAGCAACGCCGCGUGAGUGAUGAAGGUCUUCGGAUCGUAAAACUCUGUUAUUAGGGAAGAACAUAUGUGUAAGUAACUGUGCACAUCUUGACGGUACCUAAUCAGAAAGCCACGGCUAACUACGUG
rnacentral:rRNA from 1 species